rnacentral:rRNA from 1 species
CGAGACGUGCCCGGGUGCGACGCACGGACGGCGCACUUCUGGAGGGCGAGCGUCAGUGUCUGUCGCCGACGAGCGAUAAGGUCGCGAGAAAGGUAGACGUACCCGCCCGGGCGCGUUGUUAAGACUCGCGUACGCGUAGCGCGACGACGACCGUGAAUGCUGACGACCACACGGCUCCAUCCGACCCGUCUUGAAACACGGACCAAGGAGUCUAACAUGUGCGCGAGUCUCCGGGCGAACGAAACCCGCGGGCGCAAUGAAAGUAAAGGCCGUCCUUGCGACGGUUGAGGUGAGAAGCGCUAACGCGCCGCAUCAUCGACCGACCUGUCCUGCUCUCAGGAAGGUUUGAGUAAGAGCGUAUCUGUUGGGACCCGAAAGAUGGUGAACUAUGCCUGAGUAGGGUGAAGCCAGUGGAAACACUG